UCCAUCAGUACAUAUAUAUUCUGGAGAAGUACUGUCAGUGGGCAGUUAUCUCAAUCUAGGCUUGAGUUGAAGGAGGAAAGUGAGGGUAAAAUCACAGAAGAAUGUUUUAGGUACACUCUGACAUAGCCUAGGGCCGCAACAAAAAGGCACAAUUCCACUAUUUACAAUAAUGGAAUAGAAGACAUUGGACUUCAUAAGAAUACCAUGAGAGAGUCUGUUUUUUGUAACCGAGAGAACGUAAUCCUGAAAAGGAAGGAAUCAGCAGCCAGUUACUGUGCCUGAGGAAGUUCAAGUGCCUCCCAGACUUGUUGUCUUCAUUGUUCACAAACACAUAUCACUGGCAAGUCAGAAAUGGGGAUUACUUCCUGAAGUUGUGAAGCAGUCUCAUCUGCCAGAGAUUCUUACAAGGAAUGACUUCUCUUGAGAACUCCUGAAUGAGGAAAAUAAAGUCCUUACAACAUCAUUUUAUGGCUGAAGAAACCCUAAGUGAAGGACUAGCUUUAAUACCGACCUGACUCACAGUAAUGAUCUCUGCAGGUUCCAUCAACAUACAUUUGUGGAAUAUUCAGCGCAUCUACUGUGAGGAAGGCAAUUUUCUGGUAUCCAUGUACACCAUUAAAAGAUGACACUUCAUGGGUUAGAAACAGCCUGACUUCUGACUCCUGAUUCAGGAAAGUGAGAAAAAAUUGAGGUAAUUUCUACCACUUCCUUCUCACUGAAACCAAGC
rnacentral:lncRNA from 1 species